CCCCCUUUUUUUUUCCUGACACUAAGCUUCUCCAUCUCAAUUGAAGAGUAAUGGACAUGGCUGCAGCGAGCCGAAAACCCCACUUGAAAUGGUGAUCGAUCACAAUGACUACGAAGAUGGAGAGCCACCGAAAGUGACAAGUUUGAAGCGCAAAUACCCUCGAAAUGAGUUCCUGGACCCCGGAGAGGACCCCUAGUUAAUUUGUAGCAGAUCCCAGGGGCUUUGAGAUUGUAGUUCAAUAUCCUGCUAAGCAGUCAUCGUCCUCAUUGAAAAGCUAGCGACCCCAGACUUGAGCUAAAUAAUGUAGUUUGAGAGAUAAUAUACACGAAGGAUGGAGUUGCAGCCAAAGCUGAAGAUGGUUCCAAUAUUUACAUGGCCAGGUAAGCUAUUGUCUCUGUAAGCGUUGGAGUCCUCCAAACUGACCUGAUUGAUUUCAGGCCUAAGUUACGUCUAUGGAAAAGACUUGCAAUAUCCGAUUUUAGCAUGACCAUAUAUACCAAGAAAUUCCUAAGAUUUCCUUAAUAGUUCUGGCCACCUGAACCUGGAACCGAGUUCUUCACUCCUGUUUGG